rnacentral:rRNA from 1 species
UAAUACGGAGGGUGCAAGCGUUAAUCGGAAUUACUGGGCGUAAAGCGCACGUAGGUGGCGAGUUAAGCUAGCUGUGAAAGCCCCGGGCUCAACCUGGGAACUGCAGUUAGAACUGGCUGGCUAGAGUACGGUAGAGGAGUGUGGAAUUUCCUGUGUAGCGGUGAAAUGCGUAGAUAUAGGAAGGAACAUCAGUGGCGAAGGCGGCUACCUGGACCAACACUGACACUGGGGUGCGAAAGCGUGGGGAGCAAACAGGAUUAGAUACCCUGGUAGUCCACGCCGUAAACGAUGUCAACUAGCCGUUGGGACUCUUGAAGUCUUAGUGGCGCAGCUAACGCACUAAGUUGACCGCCUGGGGAGUACGGCCGCAAGGUUA